rnacentral:piRNA from 1 species
UGGCUAAAGUGUCUAAGGUUUCUGGAAGAC